GUGGGGAAUAUUGCACAAUGGAGGGAACUCUGAUGCAGCGACGCCGCGUGAGUGAAGAAGUAAUUCGUUAUGUAAAGCUCUAUCAGCAGGGAAGAAAGUGACGGUACCUGAAUAAGAAGCUCCGGCUAAAUACGUGCCAGCAGCCGCGGUAAUACGUAUGGAGCAAGCGUUAUCCGGAUUUACUGGGUGUAAAGGGAGAGUAGGUGGCAGAGCAAGUCCGAAGUGAAAACCCAAAGCUCAACUAUGGGAAUGCUUUAGAAACUGCUCAGCUAGAGUGCAGGAGAGGCAAGUGGAAUUCUUAGUGUAGCGGUGAAAUGCGUAGAUAUUAGGAGGAACACCAGUGGCGAAGGCGGCUUGCUGGACUGUAACUGACACUGAGGCUCGAAAGCGUGGGGAGCAAACAGGA
rnacentral:rRNA from 1 species